AGUUUUAUUUUUAUGAUUUAAUUGAAAUGUUGAAUUUGAUCAUUAUUAAUUUAAAUCACUUUGAAAAUUAAGAUUACAGAAAUCACACUUUCGACCAAUCUUCUGGCAAACUAGAAUGUGAUUAACCCUUAUUUUUUGAGGGAUAGAAAGCUAGGUUCAGUAAAAGGAUUAUCUAUAAUAUACCACAAUGAAGCAUAUUGGUGCCCAGUUUGUGAUUACAAAUCCGACCGAAAAGGGAAUGUGAAAAUUCACUUGGUACAGCACAUUGGAGGAAGACCUUACAUUUGCAGCUUUUGUAAUAAAAGUUUCCCUCGUAAGCAUCACUUGAAAGACCACUUAUAUUUACACCAAGAAAACCCUUCAUUUUCUUGUUUGAAAUGCUUAAAAAAGUUUCAAACUAGAAGGAAACUACGCCUUCAUCUACAAAGCUUCCAUACAUAAAUAUAUUCAUUCAAGUUUUAGCUCUUCUAAAAUGUUGUUUUGAAUACAUCAAAAGGCAACUUUAUAUGAAGUGUGCUUGCACAUAAUUAUUGAAAAACCAGUCUUCUUUCAUAAUUGGUACCUAUUUACCAUUUGUCCCAAAAAUGUUAGACGAUUUGAAAAAUCCUUUAAAAGAAAAAACGGAGAGAAAAAUGACAUUUUGCUGCAUUCUGGUAAGGAAAACAAGAAACCUUUCUCACUAAGCUUCAAAAUUAAUUACAAGAGAUGACUAUUGACUACAAAAAUAUUAAGGAAAAUGUUUUGUUUGGUUUGUCAGAAUGGAAAAGAAUACUGGCGAAAACAUUGUUUUAAUAAUUUUACUCAGUUAGCAAAAAAAAAAAAAAAAAACUGUUAAAAACUCAAACUAAUUUUGAAAAUUAGCUAGAAUAAAUUUGUUCUCUGUGCAGAAUGGUACAAAUCGUAUAUUUCAAUUUCCUUCUUCAUUUUUGUGGAUUUUUAAAAUCACUGGUCGGUUUUGUACUCAAACUAAAGAGUUUUUACAAAAUACCUUUUUAGAACUUACUAGUAACCUAGUAUUUAGCCUGAAUGAAUAAAGCAAGAAUAUUAAUUAUUAGGUUUGUCAUAAAGAAACAUUUCAAUUUGAUUAAAAAGUUGUGUUUUGUGAAAAGUGAAAUGAUUGUGAUAUUAUGAAACUACUGCUUAUUACCUAAUAAAAUUUCUUUUGAACUUCUA